rnacentral:rRNA from 1 species
AUUGAACGCUGGCGGCAUGCCUUACACAUGCAAGUCGAACGGUAACGGGCCUUCGGGUGCCGACGAGUGGCGGACGGGUGAGUAAUACAUCGGAACGUGCCCGAUCGUGGGGGAUAACGAGGCGAAAGCUUUGCUAAUACCUCAUACGAUCUACGGAUGAAAGCAGGGGACCGCAAGGCCUUGCGCGGACGGAGCGGCCGAUGGCAGAUUAGGUAGUUGGUGGGAUAAAAGCUUACCAAGCCGACGAUCUGUAGCUGGUCUGAGAGGAUGAUCAGCCACACUGGAACUGAGACACGGCCCAGACUCCUACGGGAGGCAGCAGUGGGGAAUUUUGGACAAUGGGCGCAAGCCUGAUCCAGCCAUGCCGCGUGCAGGAUGAAGGCCUUCGGGUUGUAAACUGCUUUUGUACGGAACGAAAAGCCUUCUUUUAAUACAGGAGGGUCAUGACGGUACCGUAAGAAUAAGCACCGGCUAACUACGUG